rnacentral:rRNA from 1 species
CCUACGGGUGGCAGCAGUGAGGAAUAUUGGUCAAUGGACGAGAGUCUGAACCAGCCAAGUAGCGUGAAGGAUGACUGCCCUAUGGGUUGUAAACUUCUUUUAUAUGGGAAUAAAAUGUUCCACGUGUGGGAUUUUGUAUGUACCAUAUGAAUAAGGAUCGGCUAACUCCGUGCCAGCAGCCGCGGUAAUACGGAGGAUCCCGGCGUUAUCCGGAUUUAUUGGGUGUAAAGGGAUGGUAGGUGGAUUGUUAAGUCAGUUUUUAAAGUUUGCGGCUCAACCGUAAAAUUGCAGUUGAAACUGGCAGUCUUGAGUACAGUAGAGGUGGGCGGAAUUCGUGGUGUAGCGGUGAAAUGCUUAGAUAUCACGAAGAACACCGAUUGCGAAGGCAGUUCACUGGACUGCAACUGACACUGAGGCUCGAAAGUGUGGGUAGCAAACAGGAUUAGAUACCCCUGUAGUC